GCGGAUCCGCGCCCGGCCCGCUUUCUACGGUGGAUGCUCAUCUCGGCGUGUGGCGGGACCGUCGCUCGGCGCUGUACGGAAACUCGGAGCAGGGGCUGCUUCCAGCGCUGCGCGGAGCCCGAGGCGCUCUGGCGGGGCCAGGACCGGGAUCUGGGCCCGGGGAUUCGGGUCCUGGUCCCGCCGGUGCCUACUGCGGAAGCUGGGCAGAGCCGCUUCUUGCUCGGCGGGCGAGCCAAGCAGUCAGUCCGGCAUUCCUGCCUACUCUGAUGCCAGCCACUGUCUUGUGUUCCAACUCACUCCUCAGAUGGAAAAGGACUGGGACCAUAACUGCUGAAUGCUACUGGCAGUGAGGCUUCUUUCCAGCUGGGUGAUGCCGUAUCCCAGGCUCCGCGGCGUGGCUGGAUGCAGGCUGGACACGCAGGUAAGGCUAGGGCUCAAAAACUGUGGGCG